rnacentral:lncRNA from 1 species
AAGCUACAAGUGACUCUGGAGUAUGCUUAGAAAGAAAUAAAUGGCAAAUAUUCUCCUUUAUAAUAGUGUGAACAGAGAUAAAAAUAAAGAGUUGGUACAUUCUUUGCUACUGCUAUGCAUUACUUUUAAAUACAUAACUGGGUCAGUGCCAUUUAUUAGCUGUUAUUUUUGCAUUAGAAUUCAAAGAUCCAUGUUUUUAAAUGUCUCCUGCUUCACACACAUCUUGUCCAAUUGUUGCUGCAAACAUUUUCACCCAAAAAUAUUUGGCUAAAUUUUUUGAGUCAUUUUAGUCACUGAAUUCGGAAGCAAUAAUAUUGAGUUACCAUGCAAGAAAAUGUUUAUAAAAUGCAUUUCCUGAAUUUUCUAUCACAAACAGAAAUGAGUGAAGUGCACGAAAUGCUGUUGGACAGUAUAAUCUCAUAUGAAGUUGGAACAAGCAGCAAGGCCAAAGCUCUUUAACACUGAAAGUAUGACUUCCUUCAUCUUUUCAUCUUCAGAGUCUACUUACUGCACAAUGCUCUUGUAAAAACACACCAAAAUGCAAAAGGGCCAGUCCUUCAAUAGUUAAGAUAGGCAUAAAUGAUAAGGCUCAAAGAAAAAUACCGACCAUAAUAUCAAGGACACUUCUACAUCUGGCAUUCUGUCUUGAGAAAGGCAAAGCCUGUUCCAAUGAAAGUUACAAACACAAAGGCUCCAAAAGUCCAGGAAAUUUACAUAUAUCAUUGAUCAUCCUCUGUGUUAACAGACAGAUAAUAGUUAAUUUUAUUAAAAAUUAUUAUGAACUAUUGCAAGCUAUAGAAAUAUAAACUCAUUUAUUCUAACUAUCAAAAAAUACUACUUUAAUCUGCUUUAUGUAUCAUUAAGGGAACCUGUGUCCUGUUCAUAAACCUCUAAGUAGUAGACACAAGUUGCUGCAGCUGCACCCAGAACCCCUGGAUCUCUCUUAGCAACACAGCAGCACCCAGAGUAUCAAGUUGUCAUGUGCUUGUAAUCUCUCUUGCCUUUUACCUCUGAGUUUGUUUUUGUUUGUUUGUUUGUUUGUCUGUUUUUUGUUUUUUAAUGUGAACUAUACUUCAAGAAGAAAUUUUGUACAUAUACGAAUCUAGCCCCAUCUUAAGUCUAAUUUGAAAUGUUUACUUAUGAUGUUGAAAACAAUAUGCAGAAUAAUAAACGUAUUUCUUAUACUCCUGAAUGAAGAUGAUGCAAAAUUGUAUUCUUUACAUUAUCAUAAUGCACAUUUUUGGAAUACGAAUAAGACAAAGCAUUGUUGUCUGUAAAGCUUCUUCAACAUUGAUAAAGCAGAAUAUAUGUCGUUGAUUUAAACAUCUCAGUGGAAUAUCUUCUCUGUAACAAAUGUGAAAUACAGAACUAAACCCAAUUAACAUUCAGUCAUAUUUCUUUAACUGGGUGGUAAAGUACAGAAGAAGAAAGAAGAAAUUCAGCAAGAAUGGUUUUCAAUCUCAGCCCAAUUUGUGCGGCCUACAUACACCUCACAAGCUCUGCUCCCAGCCAAGCAAAUGAUCUAAUAUUAAUAUCUGUCAUACAGAAAGGCAAUCUUGUCUUUUAACGAUGCCCUUUCUAGCUCCAGAGUUCAAUUCUUCCUUCACACAUUAAGACAGUGUCAAAAAAUUAUAAUGACUAAUGCAAGGUUGAAUUUUAGCACUCCUUGUUAAAUCUGAGUUUCCAAGCAUGUAGUUUCAAUCUCAUUUUAUAGCAACACCCUUUCAGUCAUGGAGGGACAAAAAUAUACCCAGGCUUUAGUAGUUUAAGAAUUAAAGUUAUCUGAUAUUCUCCCAGAGAACACAUAUUUCAUUAUAUAAAAUCUUAUUCUUAAUAUAUUACAUCAGGUUCCUAUUUUAAAAAAAUUCAGCCAUGCCAUUUAGGUUGAAUGAUAUUUAAUAAAAUUAAUUUUGCUAUUUGACAAUGAAAAUGAUGUCUUUCAGAUUUGCUGCUUGAGAAAGGAAUAUGAAGACAUUGUCUUGAGUACAGGAGAACUGUCUCUUCUUCAGGGCAGAGAUACUUGAGAACAGGAAAGGUACAGAGUUGAAUAAGAAGUGUCUUGGAAGGACAGUACCUGUUUUUAUUGCAUAAGCCCUGAUACCUAUUUUGCUCUGAGUUCUGUCAUGCUCCUUUCUUCCUCUCUUAGUGAAAUUAAUUUUCUGAGAAGUAUUCAUUGAAUUAGGCAGAUUUAUAGAUGGCACUAGUAUUAGAAAUUGCCUCACCUCUCCUCAAGUCCAACCUUGUAAUUUUACAGUUGUAAUUGAAUUGAUUAAGUAGGAUUUGAAAUGAGUUGGAAUGAAAUUUGAAUUGAGUUGGAAUUGAAAUAGUCAUCAAGAAUUCAGGACAGAAGUUUCAAUCCCCAGGUCAGACUUAAUUUCUUUUGCAUGUAGCAUAUGUUAUGCUCCAAAAACUAUGUUCAAGUGAAAGAAUUAAGGAAUACUCUAGAUUUUGAAAGAAAGAGAAAGCUAUAUUUAUAACAUUAAAAAUCAGGAGAGAAGAACAGACACAAGACUUAUACAACCUCAAGAAAGAAAACAUUUCCAACAUGGAGGACUGUGGGCAUGAAAUUGUAUCCCCUGCUGGAGAAUUAUAGGAAACAGAUAGUUGUUGAAAGAUGGAAAGCCGGGUUAAUUUAAGGAUGUGACCUCUGCUAAGCUUACAAAACUCUAGGGGAUGGCCCCAUGCCCCAGAAUACUUAAUACAAACUGGACCUAAUCGGUCUU